rnacentral:rRNA from 1 species
GAUGAACGCUGGCGGCGUGCCUAAUACAUGCAAGUCGAGCGAAUGGAUUAAGAGCUUGCUCUUAUGAAGUUAGCGGCGGACGGGUGAGUAACACGUGGGUAACCUGCCCAUAAGACUGGGAUAACUCCGGGAAACCGGGGCUAAUACCGGAUAACAUUUUGAACCGCCUGGUUCGAAAUUGAAAGGCGGCUUCGGCUGUCACUGAUGGAUGGACACGCGUCGCAUUAGCUAGUUGGUGGGGUAACGGCUCACCAAGGCAACGAUGCGUAGCCGACCUGAGAGGGUGAUCGGCCACACUGGGACUGAGACACGGCCCAGACUCCUACGGGAGGCAGCAGUAGGGAAUCUUCCGCAAUGGACGAAAGUCUGACGGAGCAACGCCGCGUGAGUGAUGAAGGCUUUCGGGUCGUAAAACUCUGUUGUUAGGGAAGAACAAGUGCUAGUUGAAUAACCUGGCACCUUGACGGUACCUAACCAGAAAGCCACGGCUAACUACGUGCCAGCAGCCGCCGUAA